rnacentral:ncRNA from 2 species
CUACGACCAACACACUUUGGUCCGGUUGUGUGAACAGCCGGUUAAAAUGGGAACGCGGUGCGCGGCCUUUUGGGGCUGCAAAUCCGCGACUGCCCCCGCAACUGUAAGCGGUUAGCAAUGUCGGCAUAUGCCACUGUGGUGCAAGCCACGGGAAGGCCCGGCAAAGCGACGACCCGCAAGUCAGGAGACCUGCCAAAGUGUUCACCCUAUC